rnacentral:rRNA from 1 species
UGCCCUUGACUUUGGGAUAACUUCAGGAAACUGGGGCUAAUACCGGAUAGGAGCUCCUGCUGCAUGGUGGGGGUUGGAAAGUUUCGGCGGUUGGGGAUGGACUCGCGGCUUAUCAGCUUGUUGGUGGGGUAGUGGCUUACCAAGGCUUUGACGGGUAGCCGGCCUGAGAGGGUGACCGGCCACAUUGGGACUGAGAUACGGCCCAGACUCCUACGGGAGGCAGCAGUGGGGA